AGUUUUGUCAAAACAUUUACAUUUUGUGUGUUUUGGAUUGUUGGGAGUGUUUGGUGGUUUUCUGAUUUAGAAAACCAGCUCUCCUGAAAAGAAUUAGCAGGUUGAGGAGAUGUGAUGUUAGUCACUCACUCCUGCCUUUCCAUUGGUGUGGUAGAUUUGAAUAUGUUUCUGUUCACUAGUGCCAGGAAAGCAGUUAGAAGUGAAACUAUGAAUAUCUCUUCCCUGUCUGUGUUCUCAUUAAUUGAGAAAAUAAAUAUAAAUG
rnacentral:misc_RNA from 1 species